rnacentral:rRNA from 1 species
UACGGGGGGAGCAAGCGUUGUUCGGAUUUACUGGGCGUAAAGGGCGCGUAGGCGGCCAGCACAAGUCAGUUGUGAAAUCUCCGGGCUUAACUCGGAAAGGUCAACUGAUACUGUGCGGCUAGAGUGCAGAAGGGGCAACUGGAAUUGCAGGUGUAGCGGUGAAAUGCGUAGAUAUCUGCAGGAACACCCGUGGCGAAAGCGGCGCGCUGGACCACAACUGACGCUGAGGAACGAAAGCUAGGGGAGCAAACAGG